CUGCUGUGAUGAAAAAACCGUGUGCCAGAGAUGGAGACUAUGUUCUUUAUCGCUGACGGCUAAACACAACCCUCUAAGAAGUUCUGAGCUU